rnacentral:rRNA from 1 species
AACGAACGCUGGCGGCAGGCCUAACACAUGCAAGUCGAGCGAGGACUUCGGUCCUAGCGGCGGACGGGCGAGUAACGCGUGGGAACGUGCCCUUUUCUACGGAAUAGCCCCGGGAAACUGGGAGUAAUACCGUAUGUGCCCGAGGGGGGAAAGAUUUAUCGGCAAAGGAUCGGCCCGCGUUGGAUUAGGUAGUUGGUGGGGUGCUGGCCUACCAAGCCGACGAUCCAUAGCUGGUUUGGUAGGAUGAGCAGCCACACUGGGACUGAGACACGGCUCAGACUCCUACGGGAGGGAGCAGUGGGGAAUCUUAGACAAUUGGCGCAAGCCUGAUCUAGCCAUGCCGCGUGAGCGAUGGAGGCGUUAGGGUUGUAAAGCUCUUUCAGUGGGGAAGAUAAUGACAGUACCCACAGAAGAAGCCCCGGCUAACUCCGUGCCAGCCGCCGCCGUAAUAC